GACGAACGCUGGCGGCGUGCCUAAUACAUGCAAGUAGAACGCACAGUUUAUACCGUAGCUUGCUACACCAUAAACUGUGAGUUGCGAACGGGUGAGUAACGCGUAGGUAACCUGCCUGGUAGCGGGGGAUAACUAUUGGAAACGAUAGCUAAUACCGCAUAAUAUUGAUUAUUGCAUGAUAAUUGAUUGAAAGAUGCUAUUGCAUCACUACCAGAUGGACCUGCGUUGUAUUAGCUAGUAGGUGAGGUAACGGCUCACCUAGGCGACGAUACAUAGCCGACCUGAGAGGGUGAUCGGCCACACUGGGACUGAGACACGGCCCAGACUCCUACGGGAGGCAGCAGUAGGAAAUCUUCGGCAAUGGACGAAAGUCUGACCGAGCAACGCCGCGUGAGUGAAGAAGGUUUUCGGAUCGUAAAGCUCUGUUGUAAGAGAAGAACGGGUGUGAGAGCGGAAAGUUCACACUGUGACGGUAUCUUACCAGAAAGGGACGGCUAACUACGUG
rnacentral:rRNA from 1 species